AUACUUACCUGGUGCUUGGUCGGCGGUGAUGGAGGCCGCGGCCAUACAGAUGCCUCCCCAUUGCACUGCGGUUGGCUGAAGCACGCCACUUCCCCAAGUCGGAGUAUCUGGACCUUUUAAUUUUUGGUAGUAGGGCUCGACGUGCGCGCCAGUCCUC